GGGUGAUUAAAACAAAUUCGGGUCUCCUGACAGUUCGGAUCUGAAUCGGAUUCAACUUUAAUUCGUGAUAUCUUUCUUUAGCAAGCUCCGAAUCAUGUGCCGUUUGAUUUGUUGGAAAGUAGACUUGAUAGGCUUCACUUUGAAUCUCCCUUUGCAGGCUAUAACACUUCAUCUUCACUUUGGACUUGUAAAGUUCAAUAAGAUGCCUACAUAAUAAGAUUACACAAGAUAGUAGCUCCGCCUCAUUGCAAGUAACAUAUUGAAAAUAUUUUGUAAUUGAAUUCACCUGAUUAUAAUUGUUAUUAGAUACACCAACAAUUAGGAUUCUAAUGGUCGUAUCCAUGAUGAUCAUGUCCAUAUCAGAAAGUCUGGUGUGCUAUCUAAAUAUCUAACUUGAACGGACUUUUUUCUUUUUUUCUUCAUCGGCAACCUUGAAUUGCUUUUGAACUCAAACGCAACUCAAGUUUGCUCACGCUCGGCUCCUCGAUUUACAGCAAUUUUUCCGUUACAAAACUAUGCACAUCAGUUGUUCCGGUUAUUAACCUGCUGCUACUCGUGAGAGAAAUCAUCAUAUUAUACGCAAAACAAAGACCAGAGUCCAAAGAUGUGUGGGCACGACACGAGCCUGCAGCUGGACCUAAACGAUGUAGAGAUACAGUCACUGUGGGGCGAUGGCCGAGGGCCCAGGUCAGAGACGAGAGAGUAUCCGGGGACCUCCGUUUCGGGGAUCGGAGUGGGGAAACGGGGGGGCUCCAUCUGGUCCGUCACGCGCGUGCAGAGGAACCAAGA
rnacentral:lncRNA from 1 species